GAUGAACGCUAGCUACAGGCUUAACACAUGCAAGUCGAGGGGCAGCACAGUGUAGCAAUACAUGGGUGGCGACCGGCGCACGGGUGCGUAACGCGUAUGUAACCUACCUCAAACAGGGGCAUAACACUGAGAAAUUGGUACUAAUACCCCAUAACACUUGAUAGGGCAUCCUAUUGAGUUGAAAGUUCCGGCGGUUAGAGAUGGACAUGCGUUGUAUUAGCUAGAUGGUGAGGUAACGGCUCACCAUGGCGACGAUACAUAGGGGGACUGAGAGGUUAACCCCCCACACUGGUACUGAGACACGGACCAGACUCCUACGGGAGGCAGCAGUGAGGAAUAUUGGUCAAUGGACGCAAGUCUGAACCAGCCAUGCCGCGUGCAGGAUGACGGCUCUAUGAGUUGUAAACCGCUUUUGUACAAGGGUAAACCCCGAUACGUGUAUCGGGCUGAAAGUACUGUACGAAUAAGGAUCGGCUAACUCCGUGCCAGC
rnacentral:rRNA from 1 species